UGGCGCAUUGUGGCUGCUUCGGCGGCUCGACCGGUGCUGAAAAGACGACCGAACUUGAUCAUUUAGAGGAAGUAAAAGUCGUAACAAGGUUUCCGUAGGUGAACCUGCGGAAGGAUCAUUACAGAAUAUCCACCUGUAACCCAGUGUUUUCUUGGUGCGGGUCGUCAUACUCGUGCCCUCGGCCAGGUCUUGUACCAGGUCCCCGUUUGAAUGAAGGUCUUGGACUGAACGCCUUUAGGUCCUUGAUCAUGCAUGCCUGUUGCCAUUGCGCAGCAACGCACGUAGCUUGCCCUGGCUAUUUUAAUGAGUGAGAGCUGGCACUCAAAAUAAUGGACACAUACUGCCCAAUAGUCCAAAGUGAUUCUCGGAUCUUGCCUUGGCUUGUUCAUUCACUCGGGCUGCAGAUGGAGCUGCCUACGGCGUGGUGCUUUAAUCAUGCCAAUCUCAGGUCUUACCUGGUGUGCACACCGUGUCACCUAAGUGAGGCCCACCUUCGGCAGGGUGUCUACCUGUAUGAUACGCCCGGCUAGCACGCAGCCUUUGGUUGUCAGUCUAUGCAAGGGUGACAGGAGGUGCUGUCUCUGUACAGUGCUAGGCUUAAAGAGUGGUAUCGAGGCUACGGCCCGCCCUCCGCCCUGUCUGUCUAUUUGUUAUAAACCCAUUUUACACUGUUCACGUGGUUCAGUCGGCUUGCCGGCUCGGAUCAUGGCCCCAACAUGUACCCGGUCUCGUACUGGACUGCAUGUGCAGUCGCCUGGCGGUGCCUUCCCCGGGCUGGACUGUAAAAGUGCUUGACUGUCUAGAUUUAUCUGGAUACUCUCGCGCUGUACAACUCUGUGCGGUGGAUCACUCGGCUCGUGCGUCGAUGAAGAGCGCAGCUAACUGUGUGAAUUAAUGUGAACUGUAUACUGCUUUGAACAUCGACAUCUUGAACGCAUAUUGCGGCCAUGGGUUUGCCUGUGGCCACGCCUGUCUGAGGGUCGGCUUAUAAAUUAUCACGACGCCCAACUAGUCGUGGCUUGGGUUUUGCCAGCUGACGUGAUACCCCUAUCUGGCCCUUUGGGUCUUUGUGGGGAGUCAGAUCUAUGGCGUUUCCCUAAUGUAUCCGAGCGCAGCCAUGUCCUGAUUUCAUUCGGGGUGGGAUGUAGCGACGGAGUCGUGGCUCAAUUGGUUAUAAAGCACGCUUCGGGUCGUAAUGUCUCUGCCUUGGGUGUUGUUGGUUCUGGCCUGUUGCUUGAUGUUUCCAUUGGUAUUCUAUACCCUGACCUCAGAUCAGACGUGAUUACCCGCUGAACUUAAGCAUAUCACUAAGCGGAGGAAAAGAAACUAACAAGGAUUCCCUUAGUAAUGGCGAAUGAACAGGGAAAAGCCCAGCACCGAAGCCUGUGGCCAAUUGGUUACUAGGCAAUGUGGUGUUCAGGUCGUUCCGCAGAGACGCUGCCCCAUCCUAAGUCCACCAUUGAAUAUGGCUUUGGACGUGGCCCAUUGAGGGUGUAAGGCCCGUGGGGGUGGGGGUUCGUUUGGCCAGUGUCUCUCUGGGUAGACCUCGGAGUCGGGUGUUUGGAA
rnacentral:misc_RNA from 1 species